rnacentral:rRNA from 1 species
CCUACGGGGGGCAGCAGUGAGGAAUAUUGGUCAAUGGGAGAGAUCCUGAACCAGCCAAGCCGCGUGAGGGAAGACGGCCCUAUGGGUUGUAAACCUCUUUUGUCGGAGAACAAAACCCGGGACGUGUCCCGGACUGCGUGUAUCCGAAGAAAAAGCAUAGGCUAACUCCGUGCCAGCAGCCGCGGUAAGACGGAGGAUGCGAGCGUUAUCCGGAUUUAUUGGGUUUAAGGGGUGCGUAGGCGGUCCGUUAAGUCAGCGGGAAAAUUGCGGGGCUCAACCCCGUCGAGCCGUUGAAACUGGCAGACUUGAGUUGGCGAGAAGUACGCGGAAUGCGCGGUGUAGCGGUGAAAUGCAUAGAUAUCGCGCAGAACUCCGAUUGCGAAGGCAGCGUACCGGCGCCAGACUGACGCUGAGGCACGAAAGCGUGGGGAUCGAACAGGAUUAGAUACCCUUGUAGUC